rnacentral:rRNA from 1 species
GAGUUUGAUCUUGGCUCAGGAUGAGCGCUGGCGGCGUGCCUAAUACAUGCAAGUCGAGCGGUAAGGCUCCUUCGGGAGUACACGAGCGGCGGACGGCUGAGUAACACGUAGGAACGUACCCCAAAGUGAGGGAUAACUGCUCGAAAGAGUAGCUAAUACCGCAUGUGAUCCACGGAUUAAAGCUUUAUGCGCUUUGGGAACGGCCUGCGUCCGAUUAGCUAGUUGGUAGAGUAAAAGCCUACCAAGGCGACGAUCGGUAGCUGGUCUGAGAGGAUGAUCAGCCAGACUGGGACUGAGACACGGCCCAGACUCCUACGGGAGGCAGCAGUAGGGAAUUUUCCACAAUGGGCGAAAGCCUGAUGGAGCAACGCCGCGUGCAGGAUGAAUGUCUUCGGAUUGUAAACUGCUUUUGUUGGUGACGAUUAUGACGGUAACCAACGAAUAAGGGUCUGCUAACUACGUGCCAGCAGCCGCGGUAAC